UGAGGAAUAUUGGUCAAUGGGGGCAACCCUGAACCAGCCAAGUCGCGUGAAGGAUGAAGGUCUUAUGGAUUGUAAACUUCUUUUACACGGGAAUAAAGUGGGGGACGUGUCCCCCUUUGCAUGUACCGUGUGAAUAAGGAUCGGCUAACUCCGUGCCAGCAGCCGCGGUAAUACGGAGGAUCCGAGCGUUAUCCGGAUUUAUUGGGUUUAAAGGGUGCGCAGGCGGGAUGUUAAGUCGGCGGUGAAAUUUUGCAGCUCAACUGUAAAAGUGCCUUCGAUACUGGCCUCCUUGAGUGUGGAUGAAGUAGGCGGAAUUUGUGGUGUAGCGGUGAAAUGCCUAGAGAUUAGGAAGAACACCAGUGGCGAAGGCGACUUUCUGGACCGUAACUGACGCUGAGGCAUGAAAGCGUGGGGAGCAAACA
rnacentral:rRNA from 1 species